AACCCAUGGUAAGGACACCUUCUCAAUAGAUCCUUGUAUCUCUCUCAUGCUUCAUAGAGUGUUUCGAGAUCCAUCUACACAAAAAAAAGAGAUGUCAUUCCUUAACUU
rfam:Gossypium arboreum cultivar AKA8401 contig_63406_3, whole genome shotgun sequence.